rnacentral:lncRNA from 1 species
AUAUUUGAAUGGUGGUACUUUCAUAAACAUGGCACAUCUUUUAUUGAACAAGUGUCUAUAAGCCAUUUGCGGCCACUGAUGGGAGGAACAGAGAGUAGCAUUUCAGAGCCGGGCUCUCCUGCCAACAGCAGAGAAAGCGAAACCCUUAGACAUCACCAUCUAUCAGAAUGUAAGGUCUGGAGAAACCCUUUAAACCUCUUUAGAGGAGCAGAAUAUAGAAGAUAUACUUGGGUGACUGGGAAAGAGCCACUUACUUACUAUGACAUGAACUUGUCUGCCCAGGAUCACCAGACCUUUUUCACCUGUGAAACAGACUUUUUACGUCCUUCAGACACAGUUAUGCAGAAGGCAUGGAGGGAAAGAAAUCCUCCAGCUCGAAUCAAAGCAGCCUACCAAGCUUUAGAGUUAAACAAUGAGUAAGUUGGAAAAAUAAAUUUGUUUUAAAGG